rnacentral:rRNA from 1 species
CGAAAAACGGGAAUUCUUUUCCACUUGACGGUACCAGAUGAAUAAGCACCGGCUAACUCCGUGCCAGCAGCCGCGGUAAUACGGAGGGUGCAAGCGUUAUCCGGAUUCACUGGGUUUAAAGGGUGCGUAGGCGGGCUGUUAAGUCAGUGGUGAAAUCUUUGGGCUUAACCCGGAAACUGCCAUUGAUACUACCAGUCUUGAAUAUUGUGGAGGCCUGCGGAAUAUGUCAUGUAGCGGUGAAAUGCUUAGAUAUGACAUAGAACACCAAUUGCGAAGGCAGCAGGCUAC